rnacentral:rRNA from 1 species
GAUGAACGCUAGCUACAGGCUUAACACAUGCAAGUCGAGGGGCAGCAUGGUCUUAGCUUGCUUAGGCCGAUGGCGACCGGCGCACGGGUGAGUAACACGUAUCCAACCUGCCGUCUACUCUUGGACAGCCUUCUGAGAGGAAGAUUAAUACAAAAUGGCAUCAUGAGUUCACAUGUUCACAUGAUUAAAGCUUUUCCGGUAGACGAUGUGGAUGCGUUCCAUUUGAUAGUAGGCGUGGUAACGCCCCACCUAGUGUUCGAUGGAUAUGGGUUCUGAGAGGAAGGUCCCCCGCAUUGGAACUGAGACACGGUCCAAAAGCGUACGGGAGGCAGCAGUGAGGAAUAUUGGUCAAUGGGCGAGAGCCUGAAACAGCCAAGUAGCGUGAAGGAUGACUGCCAUAUGGGUUGUAAGCUUCUUUUAUAAAGGAAUAAAGUCGGGUAUGUAUACCCGUUUGCAUGUACUUUAUGAAUAAGGAUCGGCUAACUCCGUG